GCUUAACACAUGCAAGUCGAGGGGCAGCAUGAUUUGUAGCAAUACAGAUUGAUGGCGACCGGCGCACGGGUGAGUAACGCGUAUGCAACUUACCUAUCAGAGGGGGAUAGCCCGGCGAAAGUCGGAUUAAUACCCCAUAAAACAGGGGUCCCGCAUGGGAAUAUUUGUUAAAGAUUCAUCGCUGAUAGAUAGGCAUGCGUUCCAUUAGGCAGUUGGCGGGGUAACGGCCCACCAAACCGACGAUGGAUAGGGGUUCUGAGAGGAAGGUCCCCCACAUUGGUACUGAGACACGGACCAAACUCCUACGGGAGGCAGCAGUGAGGAAUAUUGGUCAAUGGCCGAGAGGCUGAACCAGCCAAGUCGCGUGAAGGAAGAAGGGUCUAUGGUUUGUAAACUUCUUUUAUAGGGGAAUAAAGUGGAUGACGUGUGCCUUUUUUGUAUGUACCCUAUGAAUAAGCGUCGGCUAACUCCGUGCCACCCGCCGCGGUAAUACGGAGGAUGCGAGCGUUAUCCUGAUUUAUUGGGUUAAAAGGGUGCGUAGGUGGUGAUUUAAGUCAGCGGUGAAAGUUUGUGGCUCAACCAUAAAAUUGCCGUUGAAACUGGGUUACUUGAGUGUGUUUGAGGUAGGCGGAAUGCGUGGUGUAGCGGUGAAAUGCAUAGAUAUCACGCAGAACUCCGAUUGCGAAGGCAGCUUACUAAACCAUAACUGACACUGAAGCACGAAAGCGUGGGGAUCAAACAGGAUUAGAUACCCUGGUAGUCCACGCAGUAAACGAUGAUUACUAGGAGUUUGCGAUACAAUGUAAGCUCUACAGCGAAAGCGUUAAGUAAUCCACCUGGGGAGUACGCCGGCAACGGUGAAACUCAAAGGAAUUGACGGGGGCCCGCACAAGCGGAGGAACAUGUGGUUUAAUUCGAUGAUACGCGAGGAACCUUACCCGGGUUUGAACGUAGUCUGACCGGAGUGGAAACACUCUUUCUAGCAAUAGCAGAUUACGAGGUGCUGCAUGGUUGUCGUCAGCUCGUGCCGUGAGGUGUCGGCUUAAGUGCCAUAACGAGCGCAACCCUUAUCACUAGUUACUAACAGGUGAAGCUGAGGACUCUGGUGAGACUGCCAGCGUAAGCUGUGAGGAAGGUGGGGAUGACGUCAAAUCAGCACGGCCCUUACAUCCGGGGCGACACACGUGUUACAAUGGCAUGGACAAAGGGCAGCUACCUGGUGACAGGAUGCUAAUCUCCAAACCAUGUCUCAGUUCGGAUCGGAGUCUGCAACUCGACCCCGUGAAGCUGGAUUCGCUAGUAAUCGCGCAUCAGCCAUGGCGCGGUGAAUACGUUCCCGGGCCUUGUACACACCGCCCGUCAAGCCAUGGGAGCCGGGGGUACCUGAAGUCCGUAACCGCAAGGAUCGGCCUAGGGUAAAACUGGUGACUGGGGCUAAGUCAUAACA
rnacentral:rRNA from 1 species